AACGAACGCUGGCGGCAGGCUUAACACAUGCAAGUCGAGCGCCCACUUCGGUGGGAGCGGCAGACGGGUGAGUAACACGUGGGAAUCUACCCAUCUCUACGGAACAACUCCGGGAAACUGGAGCUAAUACCGUAUACGCCCUUUGGGGGAAAGAUUUAUCGGAGAUGGAUGAGCCCGCGUUGGAUUAGCUAGUUGGUGGGGUAAAGGCCUACCAAGGCGACGAUCCAUAGCUGGUCUGAGAGGAUGAUCAGCCACACUGGGACUGAGACACGGCCCAGACUCCUACGGGAGGCAGCAGUGGGGAAUAUUGGACAAUGGGCGCAAGCCUGAUCCAGCCAUGCCGCGUGAGUGAUGAAGGCCCUAGGGUUGUAAAGCUCUUUCACCGGUGAAGAUAAUGACGGUAACCGGAGAAGAAGCCCCGGCUAACUUCGUGCCAGCCGCCGCC
rnacentral:rRNA from 1 species